rnacentral:rRNA from 1 species
AACGAACGCUGGCGGCAGGCUUAACACAUGCAAGUCGAACGCAUCCUUCGGGGUGAGUGGCAGACGGGUGAGUAACGCGUGGGAACGUGCCCUUCAGUUCGGGAUAACCCAGGGAAACUUGGGCUAAUACCGGAUACGUGCGAGAGCAGAAAGAUUUAUCGCUGAAGGAUCGGCCGUCGUAUGAUUAGCUAGUUGGUGGGGUAAUGGCCCACCAAGGCGACGAUCAGUAGCUGGUCUGAGCGGAUGAUCAGCCACAUUGGGACUGAGACACGGCCCAAACUGCUACGGGAGGCAGCAGUGGGGAACAUUGGACAAUGGGCUGAAGCCUGAUCCAGCCAUGCCGCGUGAGUGAUGAAGGCCUUAGGGUUGUAAAGCUCUUUCGUCCGGGACGAUAAUGACGGUACCGGAAGAAGAAGCCCCGGCUAACUUCGUGCCAGCAGCCGCAGUAAUAC